rnacentral:rRNA from 1 species
GAGAAGUUGGGUCGAGUUCAGUUGAUGAGGAAACUCAUUGGCGUAUUCUCGGUUCGACCAUCAUUGUAAGCGUACACUGCAACCAGUUAGACUAUUGGCCAUGGAAACAGUUGGUGCAGGCCUCGGCUUGUAUCAAUGGAUUAUUUGCCAGCUCAUAGUAGUAGUAAUGCCUUAGGAUUUCGGUCCUAUGGUGUUGCUGGCUAUGCGGCUGGUGGACUAUGGCCAAAUACUGACUGGCAAAAUGAAAAUAGUCGCAAGACUUGACACAAAAUGCGCAUUGCAACACUUGGGUCUACACAUCUGACCGUUAGGUUCAAGCUCAACGUCUUUGAAUUCGGACUUGCUUGCUACCAGUGGGGCAACUCCUGGUGCUUGUAUAGCUUCGUCUAAUCGGGCGUUGACUUAAUUUGGCGUCGUUUGGGUGUGAAUCGUUUGGAUUUAAGUGUUAGUGGUGUCGCC